rnacentral:rRNA from 1 species
AACGAACGCUGGCGGCAUGCCUAACACAUGCAAGUCGAACGAGACCUUCGGGUCUAGUGGCGCACGGGUGCGUAACGCGUGGGAACCUGCCCUUAGGUUCGGAAUAACUCCCCGAAAGGGGUGCUAAUACCGGAUAAUGUCUUCGGACCAAAGAUUUAUCGCCUUUGGAUGGGCCCGCGUUGGAUUAGCUAGUUGGUAGGGUAAAAGCCUACCAAGGCGACGAUCCAUAGCUGGUCUGAGAGGAUGAUCAGCGACACUGGGACUGGGACACGGCCCAGACUCCUACGGGAGGCAGCAGUGGGGAAUAUUGGAAAAUGGGCGAAAGCCUGAUCCAGCAAUGCCGCGUGAGUGAUGAAGGCCUUAGGGUUGUAAAGCUCUUUUACCCGGGAUGAUAAUGACAGUACCGGGAGAAUAAGCUCCGGCUAACUCCGUG